AGGUCCUGGUGAGCAGGUCCCACAAGGUGAGCAGGUCCUACAAGGUGAGCAGGUCCAGGCACACAGGUCCCACAAGGUGAGGAGGUCCUGGGAGUGCUCAGGUUAGCAGGUCCCACAAGGUGAGCAGAUCCAGAUUAGCAGAUCCCACAAAGUGAGCAGGUCCAGGUGAGCAGGUCCCACAGUCUGUAGGGUCCAGGUGAGCAGGUCCCACAAGGUGUGAGCAGGUCCUGGUGAGCAGGUCCCACAACAUGAGCAGGUUCAGGUGAGCAGGUCCCACUGUCUGUAGGGUCCAGGUGAGCAGGUCCUACAAGGUGAGGAAGUCCAGGUGAGCAGAUCCAGGGACACAGAUCCAGGUGAGCAGGUCCUGGGAGCGCUCAAGUGAGUAAAUGCAGGUGAGCAGAUCCAGCAGUCUGUAGGGUUCAGGUGAGCAGAUCCCACAAGAUGAGCAGAUCAGGGACACAGAUCCAGG